UGAUGCAGCGACGCCGCGUGAGGGAUGACGGCCUUCGGGUUGUAAACCUCUUUCAGCAGGGAAGAAGCGAAAGUGACGGUACCUGCAGAAGAAGCGCCGGCUAACUACGUGCCAGCAGCCGCGGUAAUACGUAGGGCGCAAGCGUUGUCCGGAAUUAUUGGGCGUAAAGAGCUCGUAGGCGGCUUGUCACGUCGGAUGUGAAAGCCCGAGGCUUAACCUCGGGUCUGCAUUCGAUACGGGCUAGCUAGAGUGUGGUAGGGGAGAUCGGAAUUCCUGGUGUAGCGGUGAAAUGCGCAGAUAUCAGGAGGAACACCGGUGGCGAAGGCGGAUCUCUGGGCCAUUACUGACGCUGAGGAGCGAAAGCGUGGGGAGCGAACAGGAUUAGAUACCCUGGUAGUCCACGCCGUAAACGUUGGGAACUAGGUGUUGGCGACAUUCCACGUCGUCGGUGCCGCAGCUAACGCAUUAAGUUCCCCGCCUGGGGAGUACGGCCGCAAGGCUAAAACUCAAAUGAAUUGACGGGG
rnacentral:rRNA from 1 species